rnacentral:rRNA from 1 species
AUUGAACGCUGGCGGCAGGCCUAACACAUGCAAGUCGAACGGCAGCGGGGGGUAGCUUGCUACCCCGCCGGCGAGUGGCGGACGGGUGAGUAAUGCCUGGGGAGCUGCCCAAUCGAGGGGGAUACCAGUUGGAAACGACUGCAAAUACCGCAUACGCCCUGAGGGGGAAAGGUGGGGAUCUUCGGACCUACCGCGAUUGGAUGCACCCAGGUGGGAUUAGCUAGUUGGUGAGGUAACGGCUCACCAAGGCGACGAUCUCUAGCUGGUCUGAGAGGAUGACCAGCCACACUGGAACUGAGACACGGUCCAGACUCCUACGGGAGGCAGCAGUGGGGAAUAUUGCACAAUGGGGGAAACCCUGAUGCAGCCAUGCCGCGUGUGUGAAGAAGGCCUUCGGGUUGUAAAGCACUUUCAGCGAGGAGGAAAGGGGUGAUGCUAAUACCAUCAUCCUGUGACGUUACUCGCAGAAGAAGCACCGGCUAACUCCGUGCCAGCAGCCGCCGUAA